rnacentral:rRNA from 1 species
AGAGUUUGAUCCUGGCUCAGGACGAACGCUGGCGGCACGCUUAACACAUGCAAGUCGAACGAGCGGAGAGAAGCUUGCUUUUCAAAGCUAGUGGCGGACGGGUGAGUAACACGUGAGCAAUCUGCCUUUCAGAGGGGGAUACCUGUUGGAAACGACAGUUAAUACCGCAUAAAAUAAUUUUACCGCAUGAUAAAAUUAUCAAAGAUUUAUCGCUGAAAGAUGAGCUCGCGUCUGAUUAGCUAGUUGGUAAGGUAACGGCCUACCAAGGCAACGAUCAGUAGCCGGACUGAGAGGUUGGACGGCCACAUUGGGACUGAGACACGGCCCAGACUCCUACGGGAGGCAGCAGUGGGGGAUAUUGCACAAUGGGGGAAACCCUGAUGCAGCGACGCCGCGUGGAGGAAGAAGGUUUUCGGAUUGUAAACUCCUGUCGUUAGGGACGAUAAUGACGGUACCUAACAAGAAAGCACCGGCUAACUACGUGCCAGCAGCCGCGGUAAAACGUAGGGUGCAAGCGUUGUCCGGAAUUACUGGGUGUAAAGGGAGCGCAGGCGGACCGGCAAGUUGGGAGUGAAAUCCAUGGGCUCAACCCGUGAAUUGCUUUCAAAACUGCUGGCCUUGAGUAGUGCAGAGGUAGGUGGAAUUCCCGGUGUAGCGGUGGAAUGCGUAGAUAUCGGGAGGAACACCAGUGGCGAAGGCGACCUACUGGGCACCAACUGACGCUGAGGCUCGAAAGCAUGGGUAGCAAACAGGAUUAGAUACCCUGGUAGUCCAUGCCGUAAACGAUGAUUACUAGGUGUUGGAGGAUUGACCCCUUCAGUGCCGCAGUUAACACAAUAAGUAAUCCACCUGGGGAGUACGACCGCAAGGUUGAAACUCAA